GUCUUUCCUUUCUAAGUGUCUCUCAUGGGUGUUUUGGAGCAAUUGUUUACACCUGCUGCAAUGGGUAAGUGGAAGCAAGAAUCCUUCAUCAUAUAAUGAACUCCUGGCAGACCCUCAACACUGAAUAUUUCCCUCUGGCCAGUGGAAUAGCAAGCCAGAUAUACCGUAAUAUCAACCAUGUUUGUGUGGGUAUGUGUCAGACGAUCAGUGAGAGUGGUCAGCCGGUUACAGGUCAAAGUUCAUGGUCAUCAAUGGUUGAGGUGGACAGCUCUCCAUCUGGUGGGGACUUGGCCUCUAAGGGUCAGGGCUAAAAAGUGUAGAUCUUUGGUGCUGCAGCUGCAUGUCAUGAAUUGAAUGAAAGAAGGCACUUGAGCAACUAUGUGUGCACCAAGUAAAAAGCACAAUGUAGGAGCAUUAGUAUGCUAAUGAGGUGCGGGGCGACAGGUGGCCCGCUAGACAGCUCAAUUAAGAAGCUCGUUAAAGGCCAAGCUAACGAAGCGGCCUGCACUGCAAGCCUCAACAAACAAUGUGACUGUGCAGGCUACAAAUUGAAGGAGUGCAAUGGAGUAACUACUGUAGCAGAGGGCAAAUGAAGUUCAGCCGAGGCGAAGGGGUGAGACCACGUCAAAGAAAGGACAACAGUGAGAGAGAGAUCAAGAGAUGUGUCUAAUGAAGGAAUGCACACAGAGAGAUGAAAUCUAAUGGAGACAAAGGAUGUACAGAGUGAUCGAGAGAGGGAGAGAGAUGGCGAUGGGGUGGCUGACUGCUGUUGAACUCAUCGUCAUCUUAAUUGAUGAGGUCAUCCCGGGGACUAUCCCAAAACUAAAGUGUCCCCAGGAGGUCGUCACCAGGUCAUCCAAAAGUCAAAGAGCAUCGGAGAGAGAUGAUAUAGCAUGUAACUUUUCUUUGUGUUUUGCUGGUGUUGUUGUUGUUGUUUGUUUAUGGGGUUUUUGCAUUUAAUUGAAAGGAUAGUGUAGACCAGGCAGGAUCGUGGAAGGAGAGAUAGGGAAGUAGGAUCAGGACAAGAUGCAAGCUGGAUUUGAACCUGUGUCCCCUUGAGCACAACAAAUAUCGCUAUGUCCUGAGUCUGGCUUUCUAUGUGCAUUACCAACUGUACCACAGCUCCAAAUUCUAUGCAUUUCGGUCAACAAAUAUUACUAAACUGAUUGCUGCUUUAAAAUGACUUAAAAUUAAUUUAAAUUAGAUUUUUUUUUUUUUUUUUUUUUGAAGAAUUAUUUUUAUUUUUUCUUACAAGAUUUUCAAAAGUGUUGAUGUACAAAAUUGGGUCAGUGUCUUUGAUAUGCUGUCAAUCAAAUGUUCUCUGCUGGAAUUGCUAGAGUGUAGGUGUCAAAGUAACCUUUGCAACACAGGCACACAAACACACACAUAUACAGAGAAACAAAUAGACUCGCUCAGCGACAACACAUUCAGUAAUUGCUGCCUAUUAAGGUCUUCGCUUCUCUCUCACACCUCAUUACAGGCCUAAACACACACUGCCCCCUCAUUACAGAUUGCUUGCUUAACACACACACAUACAAUUCCCUCAUUUCCACCUGUCAAUUAAACACUCAACCUGGCAAGCGUGACCACUGAGAGUUGGGUGUUAACUCGCUGAUGACAGUGUGAGAGUUGUGGGCUCUGUUACCCCAUUCCAAUACAUGAUAGAAAACUGUUAUGCAUGCUGCUGACCUUAUGUGUAUAUGUCCGUGUGUGUCUCUAAUGAAGCAUUUGUCAGUGCAGUUCUCUUGUUGGAUUAGGGUUGACUUUGAACACCCUAUAAAGAAAAUGGACUCUCAUGAAGAAACACCAAUUAGCACUUGUAUCUAUACAUGUACCUCACACUGUUAGAAACUGUUUAGUGUGUUUGUAUGUGCAAAAGCAACAGGUUCAAAUCCGUUGUAUGAGGAAAAAGCUGGUGAUGUGAGUGCAUAAAAAUAAUGUUUUUGUAUAUGCAAUAAUGCAGUGAUUUAGUUUCAUCAGUUUCAUCAUCAUAAUAUUUGUUGUCAUAACUACCAUCUCUCCAUCUUGUGCUCCUGUUAUUCUCUACAGUGAAAUAAUGUGCAACCUUUAGCAAUGGGGGGGUUUGUUUGUUGUAAAUUGGUGCAAUUCGCUAUAGAGCCUGGUCCUUUUCUCACUCUCUCUUUCUGAAGGUGAAAGGAAAUUGAAUGUGCCAAAAAGAACAGAUGGGUUGGUGAGAGGAGAAUAAAGGAACAAAAAGUUGCUGCAAAACAGUGGAGUAUAAUUAUGGUUAUACCACAGUAUGUGUCAGAUCAAAAGGGUAUGACAAAGUAACUGUGCUUUUACAAUCCCCCUGGAGUAACCUGGGAUGAAGUGAUGAUAAUUCAUGGCUCAUUCUUUUGAAAGAAUUUCCAGUUGCAGACAUGAAGUUAAACCACCCCUUCAUUAAUGGUGACAUUUUUGUUUGUUAUGAUAAUUUAGAAAGGAAGAAAAUCUGAUUACUUAUGUCCAACAGUGCCAUUUUAAUGUCAUUUUGAAGGAAACUGGAAGAAGAGCAUUUUGAAACUUGGAAGGAAGUUCAGAACAAAUCAUGGAAGCUUGAAAAGAAGAAUGGAAGAGAGGAAGUUCAGUCCAGGGUGAUUAGUGGUAUCAAACUCAAAGUUAUGUAAUUGUCCUUUUUUGUUAAUAUAAAAUACAAGAAAGAGGAAGGUUUUAUUUUGCCAUAAUAUUUUGACGCAAAGACUUUGCCAUUGACUUUCUAAAUCAUUUGGAUAAAAACAAUAUAAUUUGCAAGACUGUGUUUCCAGCUGACUGCAUCAAGAAGCAAAAGCUAGUAAUUUCUGACAGACAAACAGCUUGUGCAUUGUUAAUACUGUGGCUAUGUCCUAAUGUGUUGUUUGUCUUUGUCCCAGCUUGCGAUAGUUUGCAGAUCCUCUUCAAAGUACUUCAGAUGACAAGGGACCCCUCUUAAAAACACAAGCCUGAACUCUUCAGUUUAAGAGCCCGGCAGUUUUCCUCACUGUGUGUUUCUAACCCAGGAAACUGACAGAUGCCCAUAAAUUAUUUGCCUUUAUUUUAAAAGCACAGCUCAUUUACAUCAAUUUGUAAGAGGCGGGGGAAAGUAGUGAGGAGUUUGUAACUUUAGGUAUGUAUAUGCGAGUGUGUAAAGGGGGGUCAUCUUAGGUGGUCAGUGUAGCCAUUCUUUUGCCUUAGUGUCCUGUCAUAUUCCUUGAACCCUUGCAUACUCACCAUUUCCACCCACACACAAACCAGAGCUCAGAUGCCUCCCCGCUAAUUAGCAACAAGUCAGAGCCGCCCACUUCUGCAUGGCAGUAAAUAUUCCCACACACUCGCACAGACGUCCCUAACUCGGAUACAAGACCAUCGUUCCUUCUCCAUUCUUUCCCCUCCUUUCUGAUUUUUAUCACCUCCCCUUGUUUUGUUCCCACUUCUGCAGCCAUCAAUCAUCCCAUUGACCUAUCUUGUUAGGGGAAACUCACAGACACGCCCCCUCGCCUCUUCCAGACCUUAAUCUCGUCCCACGCUCUCUUUCUUUCUAUUAUAUACGUAUGCAUUGGAGCCCCAACGUCCAUGUCUGACUUAUACCUUCACGCUCCAUCCUGCUCUCCUGUGCGGUUAGUGGUCAGGACAGGGUUGUGGCCGUGGGCUGGACAGGGUCGUGGGGAGGUGUUGUGGGGGGGAUUAGAUUUAGGGAACACUCUGGGUGGUACGGUAGCCUCUGCGAUGAGUACAAUGCUUCCUGUGUCCCCAUGUGACACACACCCUUGUUUUACAACAGGGGAGGAGACACCUUCAAUGCCCCAAUGAUGUGAACCACCCUGAGCCUAUUCACGGUGACAAACGGCCACUGCUGGCCCCUGCGACAAACACAUGCACAGACAGACCACGACUAUCACACUCAUAAACACAGCUUUUGCUUCAUAUUGUGUUUAUUUGCUAAACUGUCCUGGCAAAAAAACACUACUUUUAAAUGCACAAUGGGAGACGCAUUGAGACUACCUAGAUGACAUUAAUAUGCGCACUCAAAUCCAAGACAGAUGGAAUAAAAGGCUUUCCUCUACCUUUAGCGCUUUCUCCCUCUCUUUUCUCUCUGAAAGAACCUUCUUGGCUGGCUCUCAGUGGGGUUGAAUUGGUAUGGCUUUAAUUGAAUCAACUAGCUCUUUUCUUGUGCUGCACUUAUGAGGCCAGAGCAGCCAAAUGGCUUGAUGACAACGUAAUGGCAAAAGAAUGAAUGAGCGACGGUGCCAGAGGGGAGUGAAAACCCUAUGGCAUUCCUUCGCAUCUGCAGCGAUACACAGUCAUGCACAACACUAUUGCAAUUGCUGAACUUAGCCAAAACACAGGAAGAAUGACAUUUUAGCGGAAUUCUGAGAUUUUUGUAGAUUCUGUUGAUGUCAUGACGAACAUUGUAUACAAUAUUCUAUUCAAAUGAGCAUACUACAUAAGCAGUUAGAAAACUCUUUCAUCUGGUUAUCUAUUUAUUUAUUUAUUUUUAAUGGAGAUUAUAGGUAUGUGAUUUUUUAUUAUUAACUCAAGGAGCUAUUUCUACCUUAUCCAAGCUUUGAAUUUAAUUUAGUUGGCAUAACCCAAAGCAAGGUUUCCCAAACGUGGGUUUAUGGAGGUUUGUGAGUUGAUUAAAAGCUAAUAAUUAAAACAUGAAAAUUUAAAAUUAAAAAAAUUAAAGCAGUGAUAAUUAAAAUAUUUGAUG